ACUGCUUCUCGGCCUUUGGGCUAAGAUCAAGCAUGGUAUCUGUCACCAGUUUACUCUCCACUACGUCCUCUAUCUAAGGACCAUAGAGUAAAUGGAUUUUUGGAACAGGGAGAUGGAAUUGGUGCUUGUUCCAUCAGUCCACACAUCGACCUGGUAUUGCAGUACUUCCAGGAGCUAUGUAUCUCUU
rnacentral:snRNA from 1 species